rnacentral:rRNA from 1 species
GACGAACGCUGGCGGCGUGCCUAAUACAUGCAAGUAGAACGCUGAAGAGAAGAGCUUACUCUUCUUGGAUGAGUUGCGAACGGGUGAGUAACGCGUAGGUAACCUGCCUUGUAGCGGGGGAUAACUAUUGGAAACGAUAGCUAGUACCGCAUAACAAUGGAUGACACAUGUCAUUUAUUUGAAAGGGGCAAUUGCUCCACUACAAGAUGGACCUGCGUUGUAUUAGCUAGUAGGUGAGGUAAUGGCUCACCUAGGCGACGAUACAUAGCCGACCUGAGAGGGUGAUCGGCCACACUGGGACUGAGACACGGCCCAGACUCCUACGGGAGGCAGCAGUAGGGAAUCUUCGGCAAUGGGGGCAACCCUGACCGAGCAACGCCGCGUGAGUGAAGAAGGUUUUCGGAUCGUAAAGCUCUGUUGUAAGUCAAGAACGGGUGUGAGAGUGGAAAGUUCACACUGUGACGGUAGCUUACCAGAAAGGGACGGCUAACUACGUG